UAUAUAUAUAUAUAUAUAUAUAUAUAUAUAUAUAUAUAUAUAUUAAUAAAUAUUAAUUAUCUGAUCGAUAGUUUAAAUCUAGGGCAUUUAAUCUUGAAGUUGCAUGUUCGAGAAGGAUAGAGAAGUAAAAUAAGUAAUGACGCGACAACUAUAAAGUCAUUCUUUGACUUUUUUGACGACUUAAGGCGACUAUUUCUGUGCCUAUCACUACAAGAAUUCUCAACACGAAUCUUGUUGCCGCUGUAAACAAUUUGGCAACGUCGCUAAGGCUUAAACCGGGCAGAAGGAAUGGAGCCUAGCAACCGUCAGGGGGUCAAUAAACGAGGUCAAAUCACGAAGUACCUGCGCAGUACGACGGAAAUAAAGAUGAUGCGAACGGAUGUAUCUUCAUACAUAUGUCGACAAAUAUAUCUUUAAGUUUUAGUAAAACUUUCCUUAAUAAAUGAUGUAAGAUUUUUUGUUCCAAAGAAGAAUGUAAGACGGUAAAAAAAAGAAAAAAAAAAAAGAAGAGAAAAUGAAAUCGAAGGUUAAAAUAUGUAUAUAUAUUCAUAAACUUUUUCAAAAUAAAAUUUGAAUAAAUCUUCAUCAAUGAUGCAACUUUGUGAAGAGAGAAAAUAUAUAUAUUAUAUAUAUAUUCAUGUAUGUAUGAACGUACAUUUGCUUGUAUAUUACAUAAAUAUAUUGUUUUUCUGCUAUGUGAGAUAAAUCAUUAAUUUUCCCCAAUUGCCUCAUUCAUCCUACUAUGCUCUCUGUCACUUAAACAUCCCUUUUCCUCUCCCUCCCUCCCUCCCUCUCUCUCUCUCUCUCUCUCUCUCUCUCUCUUUUUCAUUCAAUUUUAGAAUCAGAAGGUUGAAAGCUAUGAAAAAGAGAAAUGAUGAUGGAUAUUAGGAAAAUUUGGAAGAGGUCAGUUGUACAAAUUAAUUUCUAUAGCCCGUAGGUAAAUUUUAAUGAAUAUAGGAGGUAGAUACGAGAGAGAGAGAGAGAGAGAGAGAGAGAGAGAGACAGGGAGGAAGAGAGAGAGUAAAUGUCAGAGAGCGCAAUGGAGAAUAUGAGGGAAUUGUGGAAAAGGGGGAGAGAGAGAGAGAGAGAGAAAGAUAAAUAGAUAGACAGAAACAGAGAGAGAGAGAGAGAGAAAGAGAGAGAGAGAGAAUAGCAGUAGCAAAAGGACAAUAGCUGGAAGGGAGAAGGGCGUUGCGCACAACAGUAGCCGGGAUAUAGGAGGUGUGAUACGAGAGAGAGAGAAAGAGAGAGAGAGAGAGA